rnacentral:rRNA from 1 species
UACGAAGGGGGCUAGCGUUGUUCGGAAUUACUGGGCGUAAAGCGCACGUAGGCGGAUCGAUUAGUUGGUGGUGAAAGCCCAGGGCUCAACCUUGGAACUGCCAUCAAUACUGUCGAUCUGGAGCAUAGUAGAGGUUAGUGGAAUUCCAAGUGUAGAGGUGAAAUUCGUAGAUAUUUGGAGGAACACCAGUGGCGAAGGCGACUGACUGGGCUAUUGCUGACGCUGAGGUGCGAAAGCGUGGGGAGCAAACAGG